ACAUAUCAAGUGUAGGUCAUUGUGUGUCAUAUAGGUUGGUUGGACUCUUAACGCUGGUAUGGCAUGUAGGUGAAAUGUAGGAGUACAUUUCACUAAACAUGACCAACUUCGGAGUACUCUACUGUCAAGAGUCACUCCGAAAGGAUAUGGGUAUCAGUGUCCCUCCGACCUAAGAUCACCAUGGUGACUUGCAAGUAACUCACUAUGCUUUGGUGCCGGACU
rnacentral:lncRNA from 1 species